GAGAGAGAGAGAGAGAGAGAUUAUUUUGUCAACUCAUUUUAUUAAAACAUUGAUUUUGUUAUGUAUGUCCCUUAGGCUAGGUUUAUUUAUUUAUAUAGCACUUUUCCUGUGCGAAAUAACUCAGUGCUUUGUGCUACCGAUGUAUGAAAAGUGCUUUAUAAAAACAGUGUAAUUAAUUCAUUCAUUCAUUUGCUUAUAAAAGGCUUAUCACGCGAGAGAGGAUAAUGUAGGUUACUGUGACAUAAUUACAGCUGUGACGACAUUACAGUAGGCUACAACACCACUCUCUUAUGUAAGAUAUUGCUUUACUGUUGUGAAUUAGUCAAAAAUCAAAUUAGCAAUAAGCCUACAUUUAGGCCUGUGCAUAAUAAAAUGAUGACAAACUUUAUACUGUGAACUUGUUCAAAACUCUUUAUCCUCAUACAAACCUAUAUCAUACAGUCAUCCUCAAAAUAAUAUCCCCCAGAAAAAAUUUGAUUCAGAAUUACUAUUCAGAAUUUAACCUGAAUUUAACAAAAACUAAUAAAUAAAAAUGCACUAAAUUAUAAUUUAGUGUAAUAAGAUAAUGCCAUGCCAUGAACAGUGGACCUGUCAACAGGUGUAGAAGUCUUUUUGAACAUUUGAUUGCAGUGAUUCUAUCAAAGUGCACCUCAACAAAAUGUUAGCUUCAGAUCCCCAUUGGGCUUGUUUACUUGUUUUAUUUGUGUGUUUCUUUUUAAUAUGUCUUUUAAACAAAAUUCCGAAUCAAUGUCAUGGUUUUAAGAUAAUUUUUAUUUUUUAUUACUUUUGUUAAUUUUAACUUAUUUCACUGACUUCUAUUUUAUUCCUUCUUUAAUUAGAGGGUUUGAGUUAUUUGAAGGACAACUAUCUAGCCAUGGGAUGUGACAACUCUAAUCUUGUGUUUUGUUUUAAAAGCAUUGGGGCUGUAUACGUACACUACAAGAUGGAGAGACAAAAGAACCCCUUGUUGGUGUUUCUGCAAGACCGUGGAACAAAUGAAGAAGUCUUAAGGAAACUUCAAAAUGAUAAGAUUGAUUCUUCUGUCAUUACACUGAUGUCAGAUGAAGAUCUGGCAACGUACAUCCCACAUUAUGGAGACAGAUUAGCAGCUGUCGCAUUCUGUCGCAUGAAUCACCGCCAAGAAUCAGCAGAAUCCAACAGAAAGGAGCUACUUGAAAAACUAAGAGAAAAGUGCUGUGCUCCAGGUAGUAAGGCAGUUAAAAGAAUGCACACUUUCGAGAGACUGAGAGGAAAUAAAAA